rnacentral:rRNA from 1 species
UACGGGGGGAGCAAGCGUUGUUCGGAUUUACUGGGCGUAAAGGGCGCGUAGGCGGUCGUGACAGGUCACUUGUGAAAUCUCCGGGCUUAACUCGGAACGGUCAAGUGAUACUGUCGGACUAGAGUACAGAAGGGGCAACUGGAAUUCUCGGUGUAGCGGUGAAAUGCGUAGAUAUCGAGAGGAACACCUGCGGCGAAGGCGGGUUGCUGGGCUGAUACUGACGCUGAGGCGCGAAAGCCAGGGGAGCGAACGGGG